rnacentral:rRNA from 1 species
AUUGAACGCUGGCGGCAUGCUUUACACAUGCAAGUCGAACGGCAGCGCGGGCUUCGGCCUGGCGGCGAGUGGCGAACGGGUGAGUAAUACAUCGGAACGUGCCCAGUAGUGGGGGAUAGCUCGGCGAAAGCCGGAUUAAUACCGCAUACGACCUGAGGGAGAAAGCGGGGGAUCUUCGGACCUCGCGCUAUUGGAGCGGCCGAUGGCAGAUUAGCUAGUUGGUGGGGUAAAGGCCUACCAAGGCGACGAUCUGUAGCUGGUCUGAGAGGACGACCAGCCACACUGGGACUGAGACACGGCCCAGACUCCUACGGGAGGCAGCAGUGGGGAAUUUUGGACAAUGGGCGAAAGCCUGAUCCAGCAAUGCCGCGUGUGUGAUGAAGGCCUUCGGGUUGUAAAGCACUUUUGGCGGGAACGAAAAGGACUGUGCCAAUACCACGGUUCGAUGACGGUACCCGCAGAAUAAGCACCGGCUAACUACGUG